AUGCUUGGGUUCCAUGGAGGGGCACAGAGGCAAGCAGGAAACGAGGCAGGGGCGACGUGGGAGGAAGCAGGGGUGCCGGACGCGCGUGGAGAGGCUCGAAGUCGAGCUCCUGGUUCCGGCGAACUCCGAACGGAGCGGCAGGGACCUGUUGGCUUGCUCCGGCGUGGUGGCGAGGACGUGGUGGCGGCGUCAAGGUACGGGGCCCCGCUGGAAGAAGGAGUGGAGGGGCUCAGGCAUGAGCUCCUGCUCAAGGAAGGCGACGGGGAGGCAGCAGAGCAGGGUGAGGUUAGCCUGAUUCGGAGCUGA
rnacentral:rRNA from 1 species